UAAAAAAAAACAGAACAAACAGAGCAGCGCAGCGAAAUGGCGUCCCCCGUCUGCACCAACGCCGCCGCCGGCACCCGCGUGGUCAUGGUCUCCCCGUCCCGCGCCGCGGAGCGCCUCCGUUCUCUGCGCCCGUCUCCCUCCGCCGCCGCAGUCUUCCGGCGCGAGGGAUCAAGGGGGGCAGGGAAUGGAUUCAUCGAAUUACGCACCGGUUUCACCGCCGUUCACUUCGGAAUUGACGACCGUUUGUUGCUUCGAUGUGCUCGUCCAUGGCUGAGCCUGCGUUGCGCCGGCGCGGAUUGGUCCGAGCCGGCCUUGGUGACCGUCGCGGAGAAGCUCGACGCGGCGGCGGCAGCAAGGAAGACGCGAGCGUUCGCCGGGGCCGGCGGCGAGGAGGAGAAGGGCCGGGUCGAGGCUAUCUAACGGUGUGAGCAGUGGUGCAAUGGAGGAUCCAGUGGCUGUAGCAGUGCCGUUCGCACCUUUGGAUCAGAGCUUGGUGCCUGUGGAUAGUGUCGGGGCGCUCGGCAGUAAGAAGGACUUUAAUCAGUCUAUUAAUACUUGGCAUGCCGUUCAUGCUCAAAGUAUACUACGGGUAUGCAGGACUGAGCUGUAUAAACAAUGCUAUGACAUUUUAGCAAAUGGCAAAAAACAGUGAAGCUAAUUGGUUUUGAUGUGGUUUAGGUUGGAAUGAAAGCUCUAGAUGUCCCCGUAUGUUAUGAAGUUGGUAAGCUUUAAUUGAAAAACAGAGGUCAGCAGGGUAAUUGCUAGAGCUUUUCUAUUGUAGUUUUGUGCUUUGCAACUUACAAUUUAGAAAUGAUCUUAAUUUUAUCAACCAAUAGAAGCAUAUGGCAUGAAAUGGUACAUAGAGUGAUUAUAGUAUCAGUAUUCUCAAUGAUUCCUUGUUUUUCCUGUUGGAACUUUGAUCUAGGACACUUCUAUAUCUGAACGUUGAGGACUCAUUGCCCUCUUUCAGUCAUCUAUCCUUCGAUACGUCAUUUUCUUAUUCAGCUGCUUAUGCGCUGUUUUUCUUACUACAGCUGGGCUUCGAGGAGAUUUCUACAUAUUUGAUAUAUGUCACUAGUGCUUUCUUUGCUGGUGGAUCCUGUCAGCUAUUGUUUCGGCACUUGAUUCCAUCCCAUUGGUCAGUCAGUAGUUAUCAAGUUUUGCAUUAACGCACAGUUCUUUGCACCAUGGAAGUACUUGUAAAUUGUAACUGAUUGUAGUCCUGUCUGCAGCUCCCAAAGAUUCUGGAAAUUGUGGGCCUUGAAUACACAAUUUGGUUCGGCACUCGGUAUCUCCCUUUCAAGGAAAACAGAGAUGAGCUGCUCGUCAAAGUUGAAGAUCUUAAGAGAAGAAUUGUUGGAUCCGGUGAUGAAUGAUAAG